rnacentral:rRNA from 1 species
GACGAACGCUGGCGGCGUGCUUAACACAUGCAAGUCGAACGGAAAGGCCCUGCUUUUGUGGGGUGCUCGAGUGGCGAACGGGUGAGUAACACGUGAGUAACCUGCCCUUGACUUUGGGAUAACUUCAGGAAACUGGGGCUAAUACCGGAUAGGAGCUCCUGCUGCAUGGUGGGGGUUGGAAAGUUUCGGCGGUUGGGGAUGGACUCGCGGCUUAUCAGCUUGUUGGUGGGGUAGUGGCUUACCAAGGCUUUGACGGGUAGCCGGCCUGAGAGGGUGACCGGCCACAUUGGGACUGAGAUACGGCCCAGACUCCUACGGGAGGCAGCAGUGGGGAAUAUUGCACAAUGGGCGGAAGCCUGAUGCAGCAACGCCGCGUGCGGGAUGACGGCCUUCGGGUUGUAAACCGCUUUCGCCUGUGACGAAGCGUGAGUGACGGUAAUGGGUAAAGAAGCACCGGCUAACUACGUGCCAGCAGCCGCGGUGAUACGUAGGGUGCGAGCGUUGUCCGGAUUUAUUGGGCGUAAAGGGCUCGUAGGUGGUUGAUCGCGUCGGAAGUGUAAUCUUGGGGCUUAACCCUGAGCGCGCUUUCGAUACGGGUUGACUUGAGGAAGGUAGGGGAGAAUGGAAUUCCUGGUGGAGCGGUGGAAUGCGCAGAUAUCAGGAGGAACACCAGUGGCGAAGGCGGUUCUCUGGGCCUUUCCUGACGCUGAGGAGCGAAAGCGUGGGGAGCGAACAGGCUUAGAUACCCUGGUAGUCCACGCUGUAAACGGUGGGUACUAGGUGUGGGGUCCAUUCCACGGGUUCCGUGCCGUAGCUAACGCUUUAAGUACCCCGCCUGGGGAGUACGGCCGCAAGGCUAAAACUCAAAGGAAUUGACGGGGCCCCGCACAAGCGGCGGAGCAUGCGGAUUAAUUCGAUGCAACGCGUAGAACCUUACCUGGGUUUGACAUGGAUCGGGAGCGCUCAGAGAUGGGUGUGCCUCUUUUAGGGUCGGUUCACAGGUGGUGCAUGGCUGUCGUCAGCUCGUGUCGUGAGAUGUUGGGUUAAGUCCCGCAACGAGCGCAACCCUUGUUCACUGUUGCCAGCACGUUAUGGUGGGGACUCAGUGGAGACCGCCGGGGUCAACUCGGAGGAAGGUGGGGAUGACGUCAAGUCAUCAUGCCCCUUAUGUCCAGGGCUUCACGCAUGCUACAAUGGCUGGUACAGAGAGUGGCGAGCCUGUGAGGGUGAGCGAAUCUCGGAAAGCCGGUCUCAGUUCGGAUUGGGGUCUGCAACUCGACCUCAUGAAGUCGGAGUCGCUAGUAAUCGCAGAUCGGCAACGCUGCGGUGAAUACGUUCCCGGGGCU